GAUGAACGCUAGCGGCGUGCCUAACACAUGCAAGUCGAACGUGAGAGGGUACUUGUAUCCUUGAAAGUGGCGGACGGGUGAGUAAGACGUAGGUGACCUGCCUCGAAGUGGGGGAUAACCAUUGGAAACGAUGGCUAAUACCGCAUAAGCUGGUGACGAUGGGAAUGGUUAUCAGGAAAGCUUUAGUGCUUUGAGAGGGGCCUACGGCCGAUUAGCUAGUUGGUGAGGUAAAGGCUCACCAAGGCGAUGAUCGGUAGGCUGGUCUGAGAGGACGAUCAGCCACACGGGAACUGAGACACGGUCCCGACUCCUACGGGGGGGCAGCAGUGAGGAAUAUUCGGCAAUGGGGGGCAACCCUGACCGAGCAACGCCGCGUGGAGGAUGACGGUUUUCGGAUUGUAAACUCCUUUUCUCAGGGAAGAGCGAGGACGGUACCUGGGGAAUAAGUCACGGCUAACUACGUG
rnacentral:rRNA from 1 species